rnacentral:rRNA from 1 species
UACGGAGGGUGCAAGCGUUAUCCGGAUUCACUGGGUUUAAAGGGUGCGUAGGUGGGCUGGUAAGUCAGUGGUGAAAUCUCCAGGCUUAACUUGGAAACUGCCAUUGAUACUAUCAGUCUUGAAUACCGUGGAGGUCAGCGGAAUAUGUCAUGUAGCGGUGAAAUGCUUAGAUAUGACAUAGAACACCAAUUGCGAAGGCAGCUGGCUACACGAAUAUUGACACUGAUGCACGAAAGCGUGGGGAGUCAAA